GCUGUGGUGUCGGAGUGGUUAACGAGUCAGACUUGAAUGCCUUUCAUUCCAGCUAUCUGAUGCCUUCGGGCGCGCAGGGUAAGCGACAACUGCUUGACUUCUGCGUCUAUAUAUACUCACAGAUAUCUUAGUUCGAAUCCUGUCCGCAGCG
rnacentral:tRNA from 1 species